UUAGAAUAAACAUGUGUAGAAAUU
rnacentral:miRNA from 1 species